GAGUCUGGCCUGCCCAGUGAUAUGUUUAACGGCUGCAACGAGAGUUGUACUAAGGUAGCGUGGUAAUUUGUCUUUUAAUUAGAGAAUGGUAUGAAAGGUUUUAUGUGGAAAAACUGUCUUUAUAAGACUUUAUGAAUUUUUCUUUUAGGUGAAAAGACCUAUGUAUUUGUAAAAGACGAGAAGACCCUGUCGAGCUUGAUUAGAAUUUCUAAGAUGUUAUAAUUUAAAAUUUUAUUGGGGCAAUAUAAAUCAAAAUAACGGUUUAUUUUUAUAAGAAUCCCCUUAGAGGGAGUAAAGCAAAAGCUACCGCAGGGAUAACAGCGUUAUCCUUUUUAAGAGAUCUUAUUGAGAAAAGGGUUUGCGACCUCGAUGUUGGAUUAGGAAAACUUUAUGGUGCAGGAGCUAUAAGUAGUAAGACUGUUCGUCUUUUAAUUUCUUACAUGAUCUGAGUUUUUCCAAACCGGAA
rnacentral:rRNA from 1 species